AGCAGUAGCCGCGGUAAUACGUAGGUGGCAAGCGUUGUCCGGAAUUAUUGGGCGUAAAGCGCGCGCAGGCGGAUAGGUCAGUCUGUCUUAAAAGUUCGGGGCUUAACCCCGUGAUGGGAUGGAAACUGCCAAUCUAGAGUAUCGGAGAGGAAAGUGGAAUUCCUAGUGUAGCGGUGAAAUGCGUAGAUAUUAGGAAGAACACCAGUGGCGAAGGCGACUUUCUGGACGAAAACUGACGCUGAGGCGCGAAAGCCAGGGGAGCGAACGGGAUUAGAUACCCCAGUAGUCCCUGUCUCUUAUACA
rnacentral:rRNA from 1 species